GAUGAACGCUAGCGGGAGGCCUAACACAUGCAAGCCGAGCGGUAUUGUUUCUUCGGAAAUGAGAGAGCGGCGUACGGGUGCGGAACACGUGUGCAACCUGCCUUUAUCUGGGGGAUAGCCUUUCGAAAGGAAGAUUAAUACUCCAUAAUAUAUUGAACGGCAUCGUUUAAUAUUGAAAGCCCCGGCGGAUAGAGAUGGGCACGCGCAAGAUUAGAUAGUUGGUGAGGUAACGGCUCACCAAGGCGAUGAUCUUUAGGGGGCCUGAGAGGGUGAUCCCCCACACUGGUACUGAGACACGGACCAGACUCCUACGGGAGGCAGCAGUGAGGAAUAUUGGUCAAUGGGUGCAAGCCUGAACCAGCCAUCCCGCGUGAAGGACGACUGCCCUAUGGGUUGUAAACUUCUUUUGUAUAGGGAUAAACCUACCCUCGUGAGGGUAGCUGAAGGUACUAUACGAAUAAGCACCGGCUAACUCCGUGCCAGCCGCCGCCGUAAUAC
rnacentral:rRNA from 1 species